rnacentral:rRNA from 1 species
AAUGAACGCUGGCGGCGCGCCUAAUACAUGCAAGUCGAGCGAGAAGACGUAGCAAUACGUUUGUAAAGCGGCGAACGGGUGAGGAAUACAUGGGUAACCUACCCUCGAGUGGGAAUAACUAGCCGAAAGGUUAGCUAAUACCGCGUACGCUUCUUGGACUUCGGUUCAGGGAGGAAAGCGAUGCCGAGGGUAUCGCGCUCUUGGAUGGGCUCAUGUCCUAUCAGCUUGUUGGUGAGGUAACGGCUCACCAAGGCUUCGACGGGUAGCUGGUCUGAGAGGACGAUCAGCCACACUGGCACUGCGACACGGGCCAGACUCCUACGGGAGGCAGCAGUAAGGAAUAUUGCGCAAUGGGCGAAAGCCUGACGCAGCGACGCCGCGUGGGGGA